UACGGGGGGGGGCAAGCGUUGUUCGGAAUUACUGGGCGUAAAGGGCUCGUAGGUGGCCAACUAAGUCAGACGUGAAAUCCCUCGGCUUAACCGGGGAACUGCGUCUGAUACUGGAUGGUUUGAGUUUGGGAGAGGGAUGCGGAAUUCCUGGUGUAGCGGUGAAAUGCGCAGAUAUCAGGAGGAACACCGGUGGCGAAGGCGGGUCUCUGGGCAAUAACUGACGCUGAGGAGCGAAAGCGUGGGGAGCGAACAGG
rnacentral:rRNA from 1 species